CAGAGUUAUCCAACUCCCAAACCCAUGUGAACUUAUUCUCUUUGUUGCCUCGGCGCAAGCUACCCGGGACCUCGCGCCCCGGGCGGCCCGCCGGCGGACAAACCAAAACUCUUGUUAUCUUAGUUGAUUAUCUGAGUGUCUUAUUUAAUAAGUCA
rnacentral:misc_RNA from 1 species